GACGAACGCUGGCGGCGUGCCUAAUACAUGCAAGUUGAGCGAUGAAGAUUGGUGCUUGCACCAAUUUGAAGAGCAGCGAACGGGUGAGUAACGCGUGGGGAAUCUGCCUUUGAGCGGGGGACAACAUUUGGAAACGAAUGCUAAUACCGCAUAACAACUUUAAACAUAAGUUUUAAGUUUGAAAGAUGCAAUUGCACCACUCAAAGAUGAUCCCGCGUUGUAUUAGCUAGUUGGUGAGGUAAAGGCUCACCAAGGCGAUGAUACAUAGCCGACCUGAGAGGGUGAGCGGCCACAUUGGGACUGAGACACGGCCCAAACUCCUACGGGAGGCAGCAGUAGGGAAUCUUCGGCAAUGGACGAAAGUCUGACCGAGCAACGCCGCGUGAGUGAAGAAGGUUUUCGGAUCGUAAAACUCUGUUGGUAGAGAAGAACGUUGGUGAGGGUGGAAAGCUCAUCAAGUGACGGUAACUACCCAGAAAGGGACGGCUAACUACGUG
rnacentral:rRNA from 1 species